CACCUUGCUUAAAAAUGCUAUUCACAAUCUACUCACCUUUGAAAGUCGCUCAUCCUCAUUACUAUUCGGUGUGAAAAGACCGAAUAUUGUGAUAGUGCAUAAAAUGAAAGUGGGAGCCUGGAUAACAAGUACAUAAUA
ensembl:ncRNA F17E9.17 ncRNA